AAUUGAACAGUCACAGAUGGUUUCAUUAGAAAGGUUUCAUGAUGGUUUGCAUAGCAAAAAUUGUUAUGUCUCUAGGAAAAAGGUAUCAGCUGGAAUAGUUAGAAAUGAAUAUAUCUGAGACAUUUUAAAAAUUAAAAAAUCUUGACAGAAAUUAAAACACAGAUUUAAUGGCCAGGAAUCACAAAAUAUGUUCUUUGUUUGGAGCAAGAUGUGUGAGACUAGUAAUAAUUCUGCUUUCAGAAAAUGUGAUAUAUGAGUCUAAGUGAUAAAAAAAAAGAACCUCAUAUACACAGGGACAAAUUCUACCAUAGAUCUUUAUAGAGUAUGAGAGUUCUUAGUGAACCUUUAUAAAAUUUCUUAAAAGAUGUUUAGAGUAAUUCAUUAAUUUGAUUUACAAAUUCAUUUUAGAGGAUUAUUGGUUUUGCAAAAUGUAAGCUUUUGAGGUUUUAAUUGUAUGUAUUCUUUUUUUUCUUUCAUGGAUUCCAUUUUAUAUGCAGGAUUGCGAAUAACAUAAAUUACUUUUUUGGGCAAGCUUCAUGUCACAGGUGCCAGAGACUUUCAGCCAGAAGGCCAGUUAAAUUCUUAACAAUGUAGAACUUAGAUUGGAAGUUCAUGUCUAAAUGAGAAAAACCUGUUUUCAGUAACAUGGAACAGUCCCUGAAAUUUGAGAUGACAGAAUUCUUUUGAAGCUGACGAAGAAAAGAAACAUAUUGAAACAUUGAAAACAGUCAGUCUUGCAACACGUUUGACAAGGAACUGUAAGCAUGAUUUUGAAAGAGAAGAUUCUGGGACAUAACUAGAUUUUUCCAGUUUAUCCAAGGAGAAGUGAGGAGAAGAAAGGCACAACAUGAAACAGUUCAGCGGAAGACAGAGUGAAUUGGCCAGUAAAAACCACAGUGAUCAGGUGGCUGGAAAGGUUUUAAGGACAAAGAUGUCAAAGGUUUAAUUGAAGCUGUAUGUUUUACAAUGAUGAAACCUUCUCUAAUCAUCCAAGUCUUAUAAAGAUUGCAUUACACUGUCUGUUGAGGGGAUGGGAGGAGUUGUUGGAAAUUGGGGAAGUGGCUAAUUUUCUGGUCCAGUUUGAUCCAGAAUGAAAAAAGCCCAAGCAGAAUAGCAAGUCAAUAAAUUAACUGCAGACGCUGAAGCUUGCCAUCAAAUUUGACCAAGAGAAUGCUAGCCAUCUGUGAAUUUGAAGAAAUCUUGGGGAAGGCUUUGGGUUUUCUCUGCACAUGGAAUGUAGGGCUCAUCAUAACCACCAAUAUUUUAAUGUUUAACAAAACCUGUGUUUAUCUGUUUUCUGCCUCAGCUAUAGGUGAAGUUUCCAAAUUACGCUUUGUCUGAGGGCUCUGGCCUUCCAUCUCUGAAAACCUUUGUAUGUGAGCAUUUAUCUCACCUUUUAAAUCCUAGCUCAAAUGUCAAUUUUCCCAUAAAGGCUUUCCUGAUUUCCCCAACCAAAAUUAAUGUUUCUUCUAAAUAUCCACAGAACCUUGCUUAUAUAUCUUCUGUAGUUUUAAAUCAUAUGUACUUGACUUGUGAUUUCUGAGCGCACUGAAUCUUACCUAUUAAUAGUAUAUUUUUUGAAAAAAGAAACAUUUACUUCUGUUCCCCAUGAUAACUUCUAUACAUUAUGUGCUCAUUAAUUUUUUUCUAACUCUAGGACUGAACAGUCCAUCUUAAAGUAUGUUAAGGUCUUUUUUGUUGUUAUAUACUUUAUAUUUUUCUUUCCAAAUUGUACAUUUACUAUCAGUGAUCCAGACCUGUUCAGGAAGUGCUCAUUAGUAAGGGACAGAUGCCUAAAGUCAGGGAAAAGUGCCAAUCGUCAUCACCAUCGAUGAGAAAUGGGUACCAGUAUGCGUCUGUCAUGGGUAUGAGUGGGAGCUCAUGACAUGGAGUAUUAAAAGAAGUUGAAGAGAGGAAGAAAGAAAAAUGCUACCUCGUCUUCAGAAAGGUAGACAGGGAAAACUGAAAAGUAGAUAAAUUACAUGUAUAAACAUAUGGCCCUUCUUGUAGAAUUACACUUAUUUUUUCUAUUAAAUCUUCUCACAAUAAGACACAUUAAUCUUUAAGAGACUUUUUGUUAUUACUACUAUCCGUUUUUAUUUCUGGUUUAAGUGUACUAAUUUAGGAAAUCCAGGACUUUUAUUCUUCCAUACAAGCCAGAAGUUAAUAUUUGGACCUAUUUAAUAUUCAACAGGAAGAAAAUGGAAGUG